ACCUCGAUGUCGGCUCUUCUCCACCGGGGGCUGUAGUAUGUUCCAAGGGUUGGGUUGUUCGCCUAUUGAAGCGGUACGUGAGCUGGGUUCAGAACGUCGUGAGACAGUUC
rnacentral:ncRNA from 1 species